rnacentral:rRNA from 1 species
ACCCCAGGUCAGGCGGGGAUACCCGCUGAGUUUAAGCAUAUCAAUAAGCCGGAGGAAG